GACGAACGCUGGCGGCGUGCCUAAUACAUGCAAGUAGAACGCUGAAGAGAGGAGCUUGCUCUUCUUGGAUGAGUUGCGAACGGGUGAGUAACGCGUAGGUAACCUGCCUUGUAGCGGGGGAUAACUAUUGGAAACGAUAGCUAAUACCGCAUAACAAUGGAUGACACAUGUCAUUUAUUUGAAAGGGGCAAUUGCUCCACUACAAGAUGGACCUGCGUUGUAUUAGCUAGUAGGUGAGGUAAUGGCUCACCUAGGCGACGAUACAUAGCCGACCUGAGAGGGUGAUCGGCCACACUGGGACUGAGACACGGCCCAGACUCCUACGGGAGGCAGCAGUAGGGAAUCUUCGGCAAUGGGGGCAACCCUGACCGAGCAACGCCGCGUGAGUGAAGAAGGGUUUCGGAUCGUAAAGCUCUGUUGUAAGUCAAGAACGGGUGUGAGAGUGGAAAGUUCACACUGUGACGGUAGCUUACCAGAAAGAGACGGCUAACUACGUG
rnacentral:rRNA from 1 species